rnacentral:rRNA from 1 species
CGAACAGAUGGCGACCGGCGCACGGGUGAGUAACACGUAUCCAACCUGCCUCAUACUCGGGGAUAGCCUUUCGAAAGAAAGAUUAAUAUCCGAUAGCAUAUAUUUCCCGCAUGGGUUUUAUAUUAAAGAAAUUCGGUAUGAGAUGGGGAUGCGUUCCAUUAGUUUGUUGGGGGGGUAACGGCCCACCAAGACUACGAUGGAUAGGGGUUCUGAGAGGAAGGUCCCCCACAUUGGAACUGAGACACGGUCCAA